UACGGAAGGCAGCAGUGGGGAAUAUUGCACAAUGGGCGCAAGCCUGAUGCAGCCAUGCCGCGUGUAUGAAGAAGGCCUUCGGGUUGUAAAGUACUUUCAGUCGUGAGGAAGGUGUUAAGGUUAAUAACCUUAGCAAUUGACGUUAGCGACAGAAGAAGCACCGGCUAACUCCGUGCCAGCAGCCGCGGUAAUACGGAGGGUGCGAGCGUUAAUCGGAAUUACUGGGCGUAAAGGGCACGCAGGCGGUUAAUUAAGUUGGAUGUGAAAUCCCCGGGCUUAACCUGGGAAUGGCAUUCAAGCUGGUUAGCUAGAGUCUUGUAGAGGGGGUAGAAUUCCAUGUGUAGCGGUGAAAUGCGUAGAGAUGUGGAGGAAUACCGGUGGCGAAGGCGGCCCCUGGACAAAGGCUGACGCUCAUGUGCGAAAGCGUGGGGAGCGAAACAGGGAUUAGAUACC
rnacentral:rRNA from 1 species